rnacentral:rRNA from 1 species
GUAGGGAAUAUUGGACAAUGGGGGCAACCCUGAUCCAGCGACGCCGCGUGAGUGAUGAAGGCCUUCGGGUCGUAAAGCUCUGUUGCAGGGGAAGAACACAAUGACGGUACCCUGCUAGAAAGGAUCGGCUAACUUCGUGCCAGCAGCCGCGGUAAGACGAGGGAUCCUAGCGUUGUUCGGAAUUAUUGGGCGUAAAGCGGGUGCAGGUGGCUUUGUAAGUCAGAUGUGAAAGCCUGGGGCUUAACCCCAGAAGUGCAUUGGAUACUGCUGAGCUUGAGUGCUGGAGAGGCUAUUAGAAUUCCUGGUGUAGUGGUGAAAUACGUAGAUAUCAGGAGGAAUACCGGAGGCGAAGGCGGAUAGCUGGCCAGACACUGACACUCAGACCCGAAAGCGUGGGGAUCAAACAGGAUUAGAUACCCUAGUAGUCC